rnacentral:rRNA from 1 species
GAUGAACGCUGGCGGCGUGCCUAAUACAUGCAAGUCGAGCGAACAGACGAGGAGCUUGCUCCUCUGACGUUAGCGGCGGACGGGUGAGUAACACGUGGAUAACCUACCUAUAAGACUGGGAUAACUUCGGGAAAACGGAGCUAAUACCGGAUAAUAUAUUGAACCGCAUGGUUCAAUAGUUAAAGACGGUUUUGCUGUCACUUAUAGAUGGAUCCGCGCCGCAUUAGCUAGUUGGUAAGGUAACGGCUUACCAAGGCAACGAUGCGUAGCCGACCUGAGAGGGUGAUCGGCCACACUGGAACUGAGACACGGUCCAGACUCCUACGGGAGGCAGCAGUAGGGAAUCUUCCGCAAUGGGCGAAAGCUUGACGGAGCAACGCCGCGUGAGUGAUGAAGGUCUUCGGAUCGUAAAACUCUGUUAUUAGGGAAGAACAAAUGUGUAAGUAACUAUGCACGUCUUGACGGUACCUAAUCAGAAAGCCACGGCUAACUACGUG